rnacentral:rRNA from 1 species
CAAUAGCGUAUAUUAAAGUUGUUGCGGUAAAAAAGCUCGUAGUUGGAUUUCUACCGAAGAUAGCCGGUCGGGUCUUCGACCUUGUAUCUGGUUUUGUCUUUGGUAUCCUCAUAGGGAACGUUUCUGCGCUUUAUUGCGUGGUGCGGUAUCUAUGACUUUUACUUUGAGGAAAUUAGGGUGUUCACGGCAGGCAAACGCCUUGAAUAUAUUAGCAUGGAAUAAUAACAUAGGAUCUUCGUCCUAUUUUGUUGGUUUCUAGGGCUAAGAUAAUGAUUAAUAGGGAUAAUUGGGGGCAUCUGUAUCAACGCGUCAGAGGUGGAAUUCUUGGAUUGCGUUGCGACAAACUACUGCGAAAGCAUUUGCCAAGGAUGUUUUCAUUGA